CCUGAGCUGCAGUACCUAAAGAAGAGUCAUUGUUCAUUGCUGCAGGAUCUGCAUAUUCAAAAGCAGCAACAUCUGCCCCAUCAGAUUCAUUGUCAUCAAAGUCAAAAUUCCAGGCAUUAGAAACUUCUGGCCGGCUGGCAACCUUCUCCAACCUUGUUCGACCAUGCUGCCUCUCUUCCAUUCUGUUUUCAGUAAAUUCAUCAGGUAAACUUAUAAUGAUCUGUCUCAACAGCAGUGACAAGAAAGGGAAAAGAAACAGUAAUUCUUUGAGAUUGAAAAGCUUACUCUGGGCAUUCCCAUUCUCCUGGAAGCAACUGUUUCUUUGGUUGCUUGGCAUCACAUUGUAAGCACACUUUAUUUUUGGCAAAAUUCAUGAAGUCGCACCUGGAAACAUACAGUGAACAUUAUUAGCAGCUAAGAUAAAAAACAAUGACAAAAAAAAAAAAAAAAAAAAAAAA